AGCGGUGGCAGCCAGCAUCUACUGGUUGUGUCGCUGUGCCUACUGCACAAACGACAGUCUUUUAUGCUAUGCAUAAAAGAUAAAAGUGUGCUUAUCCUCUAAGUGGUUAUGUCUGUUAAAACAAACAAACAGAAAAGGUGGCAAACUAGGAAACUACCAGCCCGUAUUUAUGUUAUAGGAGGUGCUUAUAGCAACCUGUGUGUUUUUACAGACGCUGUGGUAAAAAGGUUUGGGAGGGAUGUGAAGGAAACUGAUUUUGUUGCCAUGUUCGUCAUCAUGAUGAGCAUAAGGGACGUAUGUGCUGAACUGAAAACAUGAAAGUGAGAGAAAUAUGCACUUGUAUUUUUUUGCUGUACCAUGAAGAAACAUGUCCUGAACUAGGAAGCUACAUGCCUGAUUGCAAAGGCAGAAGAGGAGGGAGCCCAGACAAAAUACAGAUAUUCACGGAAAGCACAAGAGGCAAGAAGGCAAAGACAGAACAAAGGAGUGAAGGGACAUGAAAGGAAAAUGUUCUGCAGCAUCCUAAGUGCCUGUGAUAUUUAAGAGUAGAGUCCUCCAGAGGCCAGUCUUCCCUUAAGAUAAAAAAAUCAUACCUUUAACACUGGUGGAAGUAGAUCUCUCAAGUACAUCUCCAGAGGUUGCUCAGGAUAGUGACAGUCUGGACAGAAGGUGAAAAACAUGAAAAAUUGAAAAUAAUACCUUCUUCAGAAUGCUUCCUAAAAGAGAUACUUUCACUUUCAUAUAUGUUUGUUGUGGUCAGGGGUUUUGGGCCAAGAAAAGGAUAAAGUUAGCUGUGGCAACUUUAGUCCCUAGACUCUAUUUCUCAGAUCUAAAGUUGAAUACUGACAAGUAUGCAGCUCCAGCUCCACACCUGAUAGUGAUUCUGGCUGCCUUCAGACAUUAAAAGGGGAGUUCCAGGCUCAUUUUCUAGAGAAAAAGUCUUAAUUCUCAAAGUGGUUUUUUGGUGUUUUGGCGGGGAGGGGGACUGGGAAGGAGCUGGUUGAUUGGUUUGUGGAUUUUUUUUUCUUAUCUUUGGAAAAGCUUUUGCACUUGGAAGAGCAGUUUUUAAAAAAUAAAAAUUAAGACUUCCAGAAGAGGCAAGUGUGGUGGCUAACCUUACUGUUCCUACAGUUUCCAUUAUCUGAGCUGUUCUUUGGAGCAGUAACUGAAAUAGAAGGCAGAGAGUGGGAGUGCUGAAUGGGAAGGUGAAGGGCCCUGGCACAUCUCUGCAGUGCAGGUGGAGCUCCCUCAAGCCUCUGACUUACAUUUUCUGAGUCAGAGAAUUAAGGGUUGAUGGUGGCAAUUAUGUACGCUGGGUACAACAGAGAUCUGAGAUAAAGAGAUAA